UACGUAGGGGGCGAGCGUUGUCCGGAUUUAUUGGGCGUAAAGAGCUCGUAGGCGGUUUCGUUAGUCGGGUGUGAAAACCCCAGGCUCAACCUGGGGACGCCACCCGAUACUGCGAUGACUAGAGUCCGGUAGGGGAGUGUGGAAUUCCUGGUGUAGCGGUGAAAUGCGCAGAUAUCAGGAGGAACACCAACGGCGAAGGCAGCACUCUGGGCCGGAACUGACGCUGAGACGCGAAAGCGUGGGGAGCAAACAGG
rnacentral:rRNA from 1 species